rnacentral:rRNA from 1 species
UGCAGUCGACGGGAUCCAUCAGGCUUUGCUUGGUGGUGAGAGUGGCGAACGGGUGAGUAAUGCGUGACCGACCUGCCCCAUACACCGGAAUAGCUCCUGGAAACGGGUGGUAAUGCCGGAUGCUCCGACUCCUCGCAUGGGGUGUCGGGAAAGAUUUCAUCGGUAUGGGAUGGGGUCGCGUCCUAUCAGGUAGUCGGCGGGGUAACGGCCCACCGAGCCUACGACGGGUAGCCGGCCUGAGAGGGCGACCGGCCACAUUGGGACUGAGAUACGGCCCAGACUCCUACGGGAGGCAGCAGUGGGGAAUAUUGCACAAUGGGCGCAAGCCUGAUGCAGCGACGCCGCGUGCGGGAUGACGGCCUUCGGGUUGUAAACCGCUUUUGAUCGGGAGCAAGCCUUCGGGUGAGUGUACCUUUCGAAUAAGCACCGGCUAACUACGUGCCAGCAGCCGCGGUAAUACGUAGGGUGCAAGCGUUAUCCGGAAUUAUUGGGCGUAAAGGGCUCGUAGGCGGUUCGUCGCGUCCGGUGUGAAAGUCCAUCGCUUAACGGUGGAUCUGCGCCGGGUACGGGCGGGCUGGAGUGCGGUAGGGGAGACUGGAAUUCCCGGUGUAACGGUGGAAUGUGUAGAUAUCGGGAAGAACACCAAUGGCGAAGGCAGGUCUCUGGGCCGUUACUGACGCUGAGGAGCGAAAGCGUGGGGAGCGAACAGGAUUAGAUACCCUGGUAGUCCACGCCGUAAACGGUGGAUGCUGGAUGUGGGGCCCGUUCCACGGGUUCCGUGUCGGAGCUAACGCGUUAAGCAUCCCGCCUGGGGAGUACGGCCGCAAGGCUAAAACUCAAAGAAAUUGACGGGGGCCCGCACAAGCGGCGGAGCAUGCGGAUUAAUUCGAUGCAACGCGAAGAACCUUACCUGGGCUUGACAUGUUCCCGACAGCCGUAGAGAUAUGGCCUCCCUUCGGGGCGGGUUCACAGGUGGUGCAUGGUCGUCGUCAGCUCGUGUCGUGAGAUGUUGGGUUAAGUCCCGCAACGAGCGCAACCCUCGCCCUGUGUUGCCAGCACGUCAUGGUGGGAACUCACGGGGGACCGCCGGGGUCAACUCGGAGGAAGGUGGGGAUGACGUCAGAUCAUCAUGCCCCUUACGUCCAGGGCUUCACGCAUGCUACAAUGGCCGGUACAACGGGAUGCGACACGGUGACGUGGAGCGGAUCCCUGAAAACCGGUCUCAGUUCGGAUUGGAGUCUGCAACCCGACUCCAUGAAGGCGGAGUCGCUAGUAAUCGCGGAUCAGCAACGCCGCGGUGAAUGCGUUCCCGGGCCUUGUACACACCGCCCGUCAAGUCAUGAAAGUGGGUAGCACCCGAAGCCGGUGGCCUAACCCUUUGUGGAUGGAGCC